AUCCUUUUGUAGUUCAUAAGCAUGAUGAUUAGGUUUUCAUGCACAUGUGUGAGAUAUGCCUCCUUCGAUCCUUGUUAUGACAUUGGCACAUUACCCGUCUGACG
ensembl:snoRNA